UGGUCAUGGACCCCCACUGUUCCUAGAUCCCAGUACUGUGCUGUUCUUUGUAGAUGCCCUACACCCAGGCCUCAGCUUAAUAGUCUCUUUAUUACACUUUCUUCCAAUUAUCCCAAUCUGAAUGUACCAUCUGUUCCUUGCCAGAACUCGGGCUGCUGUCAAGUCUUGGGCAUCUGUGAACUGGCCAUCUUGGUCUUAUUUGGGUUUUACGGGGCUGGUUCCUACAUCACAGUGGGAAAACUGUAGGGCAGAAACACCAGUUGUCACCGUGGCCAACACGGAGAAACCCGCCUCUACUAAAAAUACAAAAAUUAGCUGGGCGUGGUGGCAGGCGCCUGUAAUCCCAGCUACUCAGGAGGCUGAGGCAAGAGAAUCACUUGAACCUGGGAGGCGGGGGUUGCAGUGAGCUGAGAUCGUGCCAUCCCACUCCAGCCUGGGAGGCGAGACUUCGACUCAAAAAAAAAAAAUACCAUAGAGCACCACUAAGAAGCCAUUAGCUUUUUGUUACUUCGUUACUUCGUUACUUUACCGAUACUUUUUACAUAAAGCCAACAAGACUUUCACAAAACUAGCAUGGCCAUUGACAGAAGUCAACAAAAGCCAGAUGACAGCCUAACAUUGAAUUAUCGUAAUGUUAUUUUAAUAUCUAACACUUACUGAACGAAUAUCUACCAUUACUAUGUUAACCAUAUUGCCUGACUUAUCUCAUUCAGUAAUUUAAUCAGGUGGAUACUUUUAUUAUUCCCCCAUAUUUCAGAUGAAGAGAAUGAGACUUAAGGGUUACAUGAUGUGCCCAAGAUCAUACUGUCAGUGACUACUCAGCAAUACUGCCUUCCUACAAAAUCCCGUAGAUGAAAAUAACACGAAGCCUCCAAAAUUCACUUAAUUACCCUAUACCUAAUGAGCCUCCCCUGUGUGCAGAGUCACCUGUCUCUCUCAUCAUCCACUUCUGAGCAGCAGGUUGCUGAAUAUGCAGAGGUGGUAGCUAAGAUUACAAUUUCAAGUGCUUGAAAACAACUGUAAGUCAAACUGCAAAUGCCCACUUCAAUUAGAAGGGUCCAUAUCACAUGGUACACCUCAGGUCCUUGAAUCUUAAAGCUGGGACAGACUUUGGUGAUCAUCCCAUCCAACCGCUCAUUUUAAAAAUGAAAUAAAUGAGUCCAAGUAAUUGUAAGCAACUUGCCCAGGUUACACUGUUGGUCAGUGACAGCUACCUGGGUUUAGCCCCCACAGCUCCUGACUCUCAACUCUGUAGUCUCUCAUUUCACCUGGUGCCAUACAUCUUUACCUGAAUCAUUUUGAAGAUGAAGACUUUUAAAUAUGGAAAAUCAGAUGGUACCAUUUAAUUUUUCUUUUGCAUUAAUAGCAAUGUUUUGGCUCAGGAAUCAUUUAAUAGGAAUCAUAAAAUGAGAGCAAUAUAUCAUCGCUGCCUUAAAAUGCAGUAACUAUGGUUCAUUUGGACUGUGCUUCUGAAGGUAAUGGAAGUAAGUGAAUUUUUACAUCGAAAAUUCCAACCUCAGCAAUUUGUCACUUUGCUUUUUCCCAUCUAGGCUGCAUGAUGAGAUUAUUCAUGACCACUUUUAUCACUGCAGGGAAUUUUGCCCUUGGAUGUGUUCUGAGUGGAGCUGACAUCUCUGCAGCAUCUUCUCUAGGACCCUUCUCUCUGACAUAGCAGUGGCCUAACUCUUCAUCUGUCUCUCCUCCAUCCAGCAUGGCACCACACUCCUGAUGGUUGCUGCCUACGCUGGCCACAUAGACUGUGUGAGGGAACUGGUUCUGCAAGGAGCAGACAUCAAUCUCCAGAGAGAGGACGGGGGCACCGCCCUGUUGGCUGCCAGUCAGUACGGGCACAUGCAGGUGGUGGAGACCUUGCUGAAGCACGGAGCAAACAUCCAUGACCAACUUUAUGAUGGAGCCACUGCCCUCUUCCUAGCUGCCCAAGGUGGUUACUUGGAUGUUAUUCGAUUACUGCUGGCUUCAGGAGCAAAAGUCAACCAGCCAAGGACGGGACAGCGCCCCUGUGGAUCGCGUCCCAGAUGGGCCACAGCGAGGUGGUGCGGGUGAUGCUGCUGCGCGGAGCCGACCGCGACGCUGCGCGGAACGAUGGCACAACAGCAUUAUUGAAAGCAGCCAACAAAGGGUAUAAUGAUGUCAUAAAAGAGUUGCUUAAAUUCUCACCCACUCUUGGUAUUUUGAAGAAUGGGACAUCAGCGCUCCAUGCAGCAGUGCUCAGUGGAAACAUUAAAACAGUUGCGCUGCUCCUAGAAGCAGGGGCAGACCCAUCCCUGAGAAACAAGGCCAAUGAACUUCCGGCAGAACUAACCAAAAAUGAACGUAUAUUGCGUCUCCUGAGAAGUAAAGAAGGUCCCAGAAAGAGCUAACUUAGCUCCAUAUUUGACAGAAAGAUAGAAAGCUUAACCACAUUGUCCAAAAAGAAAUUGCAUUUCAAGCAGUGUUGGAAAUUCUUUUAUGAAAAAAAAAGAUGCCCAGAAUGCCCAUCCUGUGGGUCCCUGACAAAGAAGAGCUACGCUCUGUGCACGAAGUCAAGAACCAAACAGCUCAGGGACCCUCUUGCCCCUUCACCAUGGACUUCUCAUGGUGUCCUGUAACUCAUCUCCCGGGGGGCCUGGCAUGUUCACAGAUUCCACAGAAACUCAUUUUCAACAAUGCUAACUUGGACCUGUCAGUUAAACUCUAAGGUGGACAGGGUUCUCAGUACUAAGCAAGGAGACAGAAUGCUUUGUUCCUUUAAAAGACUGAAAAGCUGACCUUCAAUGGAUUGAGGCACUUUUGCUUUUGUGUUAAAUGUAGAUGUGCUAAAAUAUAUAGAUCUAUCAUAUUUUACCUACAUAUGUAUGUCAUUCCAGUAUAAAACAUUCUCCUCUACCCAAGAACCAUAGCCAUGAUUGUUAUAAAUCAAUGAAGUGUAAACAUACAUUAUUAAAAAACCACUUCUGACAUUCCAUUAUGUGCUAUUCAAAGAUGGACUAUUGAACUAUAGAAAAGACAGACUGUGCAUUUGUUCGUUGAUCCUCAUCUUAUUCCUGACAUGUAAAAAUCAAUUUUACGUAGAGUCAACAUUGUAGGUAGGUUAAAAUACCAGUGGCAAAUUUGGAAAUUCAGAAACUUAUAAACCACGAGAAAUAUAUAGGCUUGUCUCUUUGGUCUUUUAUUUUGGCUCUAUUGUUGGGAAUCUAUUUCCUAUUCUAUAAGUAAGUAUACCUAACAUGCUGUGGAAUCUUGAGUUUCCAACACCGUGCUGCUUGAUAGAAUGACUUUGAGGUCCUUGGAUAAAAUGUGAUAUAUGCAAGUACAGUAUGUUGCUAUUACUAUUGCAGGAAUAUAAAUAAUAAAAGACUGUUAUUAGCACUUAGUAAGUCUUCAUCUAUGCAUGUUUUUGAGUUGACUGAUUCCAAGAAUGAAAUAUGAGGUUUAUUGAAUUAUUCCUUUGAAAGGGAUCAAAACUUAUAUUCAAUGCACUUUAUAAUUAAUGGUGUCUAAAUGCCUCAGUCAGUGCCUAACUGCACAUACAAAAAUAAAACCUUCUUUCUGUAAUCUACCAAAAUAAACGCAAUGGUAUUUCUGCUAUUUAAACAC
rnacentral:lncRNA from 1 species